rnacentral:rRNA from 1 species
GACGAACGCUGGCGGCGUGCUUAACACAUGCAAGUCGAGCGGAAAGGCUCCUUCGGGGGUACUCGAGCGGCGAACGGGUGAGUAACACGUGAGUAAUCUGCCCUGUGCUCUGGGAUAGCCACCGGAAACGGUGAUUAAUACCGGAUAUGACCACUCCGCGCAUGUGGUGGUGGUGGAAAGUUUUUCGGCGCAGGAUGUGCUCGCGGCCUAUCAGCUUGUUGGUGAGGUAAUGGCUCACCAAGGCUUUGACGGGUAGCCGGCCUGAGAGGGUGACCGGUCACACUGGGACUGAGACACGGCCCAGACUCCUACGGGAGGCAGCAGUGGGGAAUAUUGGACAAUGGGCGGAAGCCUGAUCCAGCAACGCCGCGUGAGGGAUGACGGCCUUCGGGUUGUAAACCUCUUUCAGUACCGACGAAGCGUGAGUGACGGUAGGUACAGAAGAAGGACCGGCCAACUACGUGCCAGCCGCCGCCGUAAUAC